UACAGAGGGUGCAAGCGUUAAUCAGAAUGACUGGGCGUAAAGGGCGUGUAGGUGGUUGACUAGGUUUGAUGUGAAAUCCCCGGGCUUAACCUGGGAAUUGCGUCGAAAACGGGUCGACUGGAGUGAGAUAGAGGGUUGUGGAAUUUCCGGUGUAGCGGUGAAAUGCGUAGAUAUCGGAAAGAACAUCAGUGGCGAAGGCGACAACCUGGAUCUUAACUGACACUGAGGCGCGAAGGCGUGGGGAUCAAACAGGAUUAGAAACCCUCGUAGUCC
rnacentral:rRNA from 1 species